GCAAUGGACAAAGUCUGACCGAGCAACGCCGCGUGAGUGAAGAAGGUUUUCGGAUCGUAAAGCUCUGUUGUAAGUCAAGAACGUGUGUGAGAGUGGAAAGUUCACACAGUGACGGUAGCUUACCAGAAAGGGACGGCUAACUACGUGCCAGCAGCCGCGGUAAUACGUAGGUCCCGAGCGUUGUCCGGAUUUAUUGGGCGUAAAGGGAGCGCAGGCGGUCAGGAAAGUCUGGAGUAUAAGGCUAUGGCUCAACCAUAGUGUGCUCUGGAAACUGUCUGACUUGAGUGCAGAAGGGGAGAGUGGAAUUCCAUGUGUAGCGGUGAAAUGCGUAGAUAUAUGGAGGAACACCAGUGGCGAAAGCGGCUCUCUGGUCUGUCACUGACGCUGAGGCUCGAAAGCGUGGGUAGCGAACAGGAUUAGAUACCCUGGUAGUCCACGCCGUAAACGAUGAGUGCUAGGUGUUAGGCCCUUUCCGGGGCUUAGUGCCGGAGCUAACGCAAUAAGCACUCCGCCUGGGGAGUACGACCGCAAGGGUGAAACUCAAAGGAAUUGACGGGGGCCCGCACAGCGGUGGAGCAUGUGGUUUAUUCGAAGCA
rnacentral:rRNA from 1 species